rnacentral:rRNA from 1 species
AACGAACGCUGGCGGCAUGCCUAACACAUGCAAGUCGAACGAGAUCUUCGGGUCUAGUGGCGCACGGGUGCGUAACGCGUGGGAAUCUGCCCUUUGGUUCGGAAUAACAGUUGGAAACGACUGCUAAUACCGGAUGAUGACGAAAGUCCAAAGAUUUAUCGCCAGAGGAUGAGUCCGCGUAGGAUUAGCUAGUUGGUGUGGUAAAGGCGCACCAAGGCGACGAUCCUUAGCUGGUCUGAGAGGAUGAUCAGCCACACUGGGACUGAGACACGGCCCAGACUCCUACGGGAGGCAGCAGUGAGGAAUAUUGGACAAUGGGCGAAAGCCUGAUCCAGCAAUGCCGCGUGAGUGAUGAAGGCCUUAGGGUUGUAAAGCUCUUUUACCCGGGAUGAUAAUGACAGUACCGGGAGAAUAAGCUCCGGCUAACUCCGUGCCAGCCGCCGCGGUAA